rnacentral:tRNA from 1 species
UCCUGGUUAGCUCAGUUGGUAGAGCACUUCAUUGGGAAUAGAGAGGUCCCUGGUUCGAUACUAAGACCAGGCG